GGGGGCAGAGCUCAGAGGCAGAGCACUGGAUGCAGAUCAAGAGGCCCCUGGUUCAAAUCCAGGUGCCCGUU
rnacentral:tRNA from 1 species